GUGACAGAGAUAAGAGAGUAGAAUCAGCUAAGAUAUCAAUAACAGCAUUACUGAAAUCAUGGUCAGGUUUUUUAUUGUUACUUAAUCCGUCAAUUAAUGGAAUAUCAACUAUAAUUAACAUGUUACCUUUGACUGAACCUUAUAUACAGAGACAGAUCCUUGAGAUACUCUACAGUUCCUUUCAUUUGAAGAUCCCUCAGUGGACUGAUGACUAUAGGAUAGCUAUUGCUAGUGUUGGUAAGAUACUGGCUAAUUAAUUGAUGGGUGUGGCUU